ACAACUUUGAGCAGAGUAUCACAGAUGGGGAUAUAGAACUGUUUGUUCCACACUACUCUAGAAAAACAACAAAGAUAAGUGAUUGCAUUCCUCAAUUACUGAACUUAACAUUAAGAAC
rnacentral:lncRNA from 11 species